rnacentral:rRNA from 1 species
UACAGAGGUCUCAAGCGUUGUUCGGAUUCAUGGGGCGUAAAGGGUGUGUAGGUGGCGCGCUAAGUCGGGUGUGAAAUUUCGGAGCUUAACUCCGAAACUGCAUUCGAUACUGGCGUGCUUGAGGACUGGAGAGGAGACUGGAAUUCAUGGUGUAGCAGUGAAAUGCGUAGAGAUCAUGAGGAAGACCAGUGGCGAAGGCGGGUCUCUGGACAGUUCCUGACACUGAGACACGAAGGCCAGGGGAGCAAACGGG